rnacentral:lncRNA from 1 species
AUUUAAAUAUACACAAGGGUAUACAAAAUAGUACUCAAUAAAUUUAAUUAAUAUCAAGUUCGAAUAUUAAAAUAACAUAAGUUUAAAUUUAAAUACUUUAAAAGUAAUAGAAUACUAAAUAAUUACAUAAAUUAAUAAAUUGAGCAUGAAUAAUUUAACUUGGCAACUGAGGACUAUACUAAAAUCAAAAUAGAAUUACAAGAAAAAACAAAAAUAAAAAUAAAAUAAAAUGAAGGGCCAAAGUAUAAUGUCCGAAUAACAUGGGGGUCAAAUGGGAAAUAUUCCCUGUCCCCCAAAACGCAGCGCUGCAAUAUGGGCCAAAAUGAAAUAAAAAC